rnacentral:lncRNA from 1 species
UUUAUGUAGUGGUGGAGGGAGGAAGCAUUCUCUCUGAGAAUCAUCUUGUCAGAACCAUCUGGCUGGGGGCGGUGCACAAGAACCAUCUGCUGGGAGCCUCAUUUCCAUCCUGUUCCUUAAAUGCAAACUUUUGACGUUAUCCAUAAAUGAAGUCACACACACAAUCACUGCAAUGUGGGUACACGAAAUGUGUUAUUUUGACAAGAGUUAACAUUUAACAUACUCAAAUUCAUUUAUUUUGCAAUUGACUUAUGGUAUUUCUCCAUUUUCGAAUAUACUAGAAGUCAAAAACAGAAAAAAAAAUGAGCCUCAUGUUUUUCAACCUUCAACCUUCAAGGAUCUAGAGGGGAGGAAAUGAAAACAUCUGCCUUCAUAAAGGUGCUGCUCUUUCCUUCCAGGAUUCCCCAGGGCAUCCUUGGAGUGCCCCCAGUUUGAAUUGGAGAUAAAAGGUAUGGUCUUGUUGAAAUUGCCCCCAAAUUGAGCUGCACCUUCCAAUUGAGGCAGAAAGAAUCGCCUUUUGAUACGUUCCACAAUUGGAAUGCAAAUUCUCUCCCAUCUCCUAGACACCUGGGCCUGCCCCCAUUUUUCUUGACUGUAAUCUGUUUAGCUUGUGCAUAAAAUGGCAAAAACAAAGAGUCUUUCUGUAAAAGAAAAAGAAGAGGAAAGAAAGUAGAUUCUGUGUCCUCUUCCUUAGUCCUUGCCAAAUCUUUGCUCCCAGGCCUCGGCAGGUGGCAGUGUACAUGAGUCAUGCAGUCUAUCUUUCUGUUUUGUUUGUUAUUAACCACUGAAAUGAUGGCACCAUUCCUGGAGUUAGGCCUUCAACCAAAGAGCUGGGCCAUCCGUGGCAAUGCCUCCCAGGCUUGGGAGCUGGGAAAAGGCCCCAGGAGCUAGGGCAUCCUGAUUGUUCUUUCAAAGAAAUCCCUCUUGUUCUUAGUCAACAUGCUGGAUACCAGCUAAAAAAUGCAAAAUGAUCUUCAGGCAGGGAUGGCACAGGACCCUUGCUGAGCUGUGAAGCCUGGCUGUGAGGAUUCCUGCAUGGAAACAUCAACAUGUUGCCAGAUUGGUAUACGACUCAACACCACACUGACAUGCUGCUCCCAAACAGUGCCUUUGAAUCAAGACCCAGUCAUCGUAUUCGAAGAAAAAGGAAAUAUCCCUGACCAUGUUGGGACUUAACACUGCUUCACAGAGGCCACACAGCAAAUUAAUCCAUAAGAAGAUUUAAGAGGAGACUUCAGGACAGCAGUUUCCCUCCUGUAUUUGCAAUCAAAACAUUUAAGACACCCAGAGCAACUCAGAGGGAUUGAAUUACUGGAACACUCUAUGGCGAAGACAUUUAACAACCUGACAACUUGGUUUUAAAACAUCUUAUGUGUGAUAACCACAAAUGGCUCUGAAUUAGCCCCCAAAAGGGGAAAAGAUUCCUAAGUCUCUCUACUCUGAGCUAAUAGGAUAGCAUAGGAAAACAAAUCUUUAUUAUGAGUUUUUGAAUUUGUCACCAUUGGAGUUUCAGAAUAACAUGUCUGUUGGGAUAUUCAAUCUCCCAUUCUUCUUUCCAGUGGAUUAAAAAUGACAGUACUAAUUAAAGAAGUAAAGAAAAGAGACCACUGUCACUUGCAAUGUAUAGACUUGAAUUAUAAUAAGGCUCAGAUGAGGAGGAGAAAGAAAAGUUGGAGAAGUAUCCUCAUUAGGAGUUUCUUUCUAAGCAUCAAAAAGCAUCCUGAAGAUGAAUUCUCUUUAAAAAGACGGUGUUUAAGGGGCUGGGGGCAGUGGCUCACGCUUAUAAUCCCAGCACUUUGGG